rnacentral:rRNA from 1 species
GAGUUUGAUCCUGGCUCAGAUUGAACGCUGGCGGCAUGCCUUACACAUGCAAGUCGAACGGUAACAGGUUAAGCUGACGAGUGGCGAACGGGUGAGUAAUACAUCGGAACGUGCCCAGUAGUGGGGGAUAGCCCGGCGAAAGCCGGAUUAAUGCCGCAUACGACCUAAGGGUGAAAGCGGGGGAUCGCAAGACCUCGCGCUAUUGGAGCGGCCGAUGUCAGAUUAGGUAGUUGGUGGGGUAAAGGCCUACCAAGCCUACGAUCUGUAGCUGGUCUGAGAGGACGACCAGCCACACUGGGACUGAGACACGGCCCAGACUCCUACGGGAGGCAGCAGUGGGGAAUUUUGGACAAUGGGCGCAAGCCUGAUCCAGCCAUGCCGCGUGCGGGAAGAAGGCCUUCGGGUUGUAAACCGCUUUUGUCAGGGAAGAAACGCUUUGGGCUAAUACCCCGAAGUAAUGACGGUACCUGAAGAAUAAGCACCGGCUAACUACGUG